rnacentral:lncRNA from 1 species
UUUCCCUAUACAUAAAGAAGGUAGCUUUAUGGAGAGAAUCACUUCGUGGUAGCUGUGACCUUCAGUAGACCUGCGGCCAAUCCAUGAUGACCUGAGAGGAGGGGCCCGGAGAAUAAAUAUCCCCAUCCAUCCAUUCUCCUCCUUUCCUCUGGAUCUCUUGUUAUUGCCUCUGAUGGACUGAAUCCAACCAGAAGCAGAGGGAAAGGGAGCCUAUCAAUGCAGUCAGCAUCUGGGGGAAGUUGUGAGAGGAAAAGAAUGAAAGUGGGCCUAGAGAAUCAAACUGAAAAUAUUUGCAUAAUGCAUAAUGUCUCCCAAAGUAUGUUCCAAGGAAUACUAGUUCCAUAAAGUGACCCGCAGUGACAAAACUCUUAAGAUCAAAUCAGUUUUGAAAAUGCCAUGUAAUGUAACCCCACAUGUCCAUAUGCUGUGUAUAAGCACUGACAGAGCAGUGGCACAUACAAAGGAUAUCUCAACCUUCCUGAAAAUUAGAGUUUAUUGAGGAAAACAAUAAGUACACAAAUAAACAAAUAGCUGUAUAUAGCACACUGUUAAGUAGUGACCCAUGUUAUGAAAAAUAAUUAGUUUUUUUUUUAUUGGACAUAUAUUAAAUAUUCAAUUGAAAACAAUUUUGGAAAUAGGGAUUUAAUGAAAAAAUUUCUAUUGUGGAAAUUAUGACAGCUUCAGACUUUUAGAUGUUCCAGAUAGAGUUCAAAUUUUGUUUACUGCUUGAAUUUUAUAAAUCUAGUCUCCUUAGACCUAAUCAUAAAACCAAGCUGAGUAGUUUCAAAACUUUUUUGUACAUUUUUCCCAUCCUCUUCUUUUUGCCUCUCAUAUAUUAUUCUCUUUGGUUUCUUACUUUCCCUCAAAAGUGGCCAUGUAUUAUGCAUCUUUAUAUCUUCAGUGUCUGGCCCUGUAUUGUGCCUGGUGGGGUUUUUAAAGAGCUAGCUUUCAAAUUAAAUAAUAAUAAUAAUUACUAUAUAGUAGUAGUAACUACAAUGACAAAACCCCCCAAAUACUUAACUUUAAUGCAUACUUGCUCUGUACCAUAUAUUAUUCAGAGGUCUCACUUAGUGGAUUAUUCCAUUAGUCCUCACAAUGACGCAGUGACACAGAUGCUGUUAUUAUCCCCACUCUACAGAUUAGAAUACUGAGGCAUUAAGAGCUCAAGUAACUUGCCCACUGGCACACAAGCAGAAAUGUUAGAGCUGGGAAAUCUAACCCCUGUACCUGGACUUUUAAUCGUUUAUGCUAUAUUAGCUUAAAUAAUGUUCAACUAAAUCUAAUUAUAUCUAACUAGAUAACAGUUUUUGAUGCAUUAGCUUCAAACUUAGGAAAUUAUGACAUAAAAAUAUCAUAUCUAUAUUCAGUGUAUUACAAAAAUGAGGGGAAAUGGGUUUAAGAAAUAAAAUUAAACAAUUGAAAAUCAGAAAUAUAACUUAAAGUAAAUAUUCUUACAGUCCAUAAGAAAAGGAAGGAAGGAAGGAAUGUUAUAUUAAUAGGAUUUAGAGGCAAUUGAGGUAUAAAUUACACUGGAAUAUUUUACAUGAAGGCAAUGCUAUGUUUUUUUAUAUCUUAUACUAUGACAUUUACAGAAAAAUAAAAAUUUUAGUGGCAUACUAGUAUUCUUACAUAAAACAAAUACAAAAGCCUAGUUAUGACAUAAAAAUCUCAUGUACCACCAGAGAUGACGGAGACAUAUUUAAUUCAUGUACUUUCAAAUAUGAGCACCAUGGGGAUGUUUUUAUCGGAGAGUAGUUUUACUCUAUGAUGCAUAAGUACAUAAAUACUCUAUGGCAGCUAUGUCAGUCAGUUUUAAAAGUAAUUAUCUGACCUUAAAGUUUCAACAAUUUCUACUUAAUUAUGCAAUUAAAAUUAAAAAGGUUUCUUUAGAAUUAAAAACUUUAAUAACUUUUAGAAGAGUAUAUGUAGAUAGCUUUCACAAUCUUAAAUUUACCAUUCACUAGUCUAGAAAAAAAUAGAUACAGAAUGAAUGUAAUAAAAUACCAGGAGAUAAUUGAAACUCUGAGAUAUUACAUAGAUACCUCAAGCCAAUAUAUUAUUUAAGUAGCUCCAUAUAAAACAUUCUGGGGGGCUUGAUAAAAUCUUUUUGUUGAUGACUUUGGUGAUAGUAAUGGUAAAGUUUCUUUGAUUUAACCUUAAAAAACCCAGUUGCCAGGUGAAGCACAGAAAAAGUAUUACUAGUAUUAUCUAUGUAAUUAUUUUAACCAAAGUGAAUUAACGUUGAUAUCCUCCUUUUUUCCCCUAAGUCUAGCUUUAUGUAACAAAGAUAGUGUGCUCUCAAAUAUUUUCAGAUAAAUAAUAUAUAAUGUAAAUAGAAAGUCAAGGAAAUAGACUACGUAGCUAUGGAGAUGAAAUGUCAUGGUGCUGACAAAAUUGUUGAUAGUUCUCAUGUUACCGUAACUGAUGUGAAGGCAUAGUUGUCAGAGUUCUAUUACAAAAAUGGAACACUUAUUUGUGAAAAAUGAUUUUACAAAUUUUUUUCCUUGCUUGGUCUAUAUGGACAUUACAUCAGUUAUUAAAUUUAAUACAUGGGCAACUUAAAAACAUCUGAAAAACCCAUUGACAGUCUAAAGGAAAUAUUUAUCUCAUGGAGUUGUAUAUACGUGAUAAGAGUAGAAGUUAACUUGUUGAAAAUUCACUUGUUCUUUUCACUCUGUCUCAUAAGAACCAUUGUACAUGAGAAUAAUAGUUUGGGUUUCUCUAAAAUUGAGGAAAGCUGUAUAGACUAAAUGUCUAAUGGAAUAUACAAAAAUUUUCUCUCAGGCUUAAGGCACCUAGAACUAACCAAGGAAAAUUGGAUCAGUGUAGAAAGCCAAUUGGACAAUUUAAAUUCAAUUGCCCUUUUUUCCGAACAGAAAUAAUUUAUCCAUGAUCUCUGCCAAUGCAAACUUUAUCUUUACAAUAUAUUUUAGCUGUCCCUAUUGAUAAUGAGGUUAUCAUUUGAAGACUAAUAACACCUUCCCGGAAUCUCUCUUAAAGGAAGACUGCUUUGUACAUAGGGCAUGUCACAAUGGAUAGUUCUGGAGCCAGGUUCAGCUCGUGAUACAUGAAUACUGUCUCUGCCAUUUAUGAGUUGUCUGAUCUUACCCAAGUUGCUUAACUUCUUUGAGAUUCUGUAUGCUUAUCUAAAAUUAGCUUACUAAUGCAUAUUUAAUUUUGCACAGUUUAACCUGAUAUAAUGUCAUACAAAAAUAAAUUUGUGCUGCUUUUUGGCCUCUUUGGCCUACUAAUGAUCUAUAAAAUGUCCUUUGUAAUGAUACCAUGGGACCAAUUAAUGGAUAGCACACUAUUUUUAAAACAGCUUUUUUCUUAUUAUUUUUAAAAAUAAAGCCUUUUGGAUGAAAGUGUAACCUAGUCUUAGAUUUGGAGGUGGGCUUCUUUGUGUGAAUUAAUAUCAACCUCUAAAAAUUAUAAUUCUGUUACACGCACAUGUAUACAUUCUUUUUUCUCACAUUAUCAUGCUCCAUCAUAAGUGACUCAUGUAUGUGUAACUGGGUCACCGUGCUGUACAGUAGAAAAUUGACAGAACAUUGUAAACCAGCUAUAAUGGAAAAAAAUAAAAAUCAUUAUAUAUAUAAAGAAUUAUGUUAAUAAGAUAAAAAUAAGUGGAAAUACUUAAAUAUAAGUAGAAAUAUUAAUAUUUGUGCCAUGUAAACUAAUUUCAGAUAAGGACACAGAAUACUAGGUAUUAGGUACCUGGUCAUUCUAGUUCUAUUUUUAUGUAGAGAUAAAAUCUCUCUCCCCUUUUAUAGGACAGUAUUUUAUAACAUAGUUAAAGUUAACAUUUUUUUUUUCAAAUUGUCGCAUUUUACAGUUAUAUUUGCCCCACUUCUUAUAUGAAUUCAAUGCCCUUGAGAUUCUCUUAAUCCUUGAGUUACACUCUGGACACAAUUUAUCAACUCUUGAAAUAUGAUACUGGAUUUAAGAAAUACUCUUUUGCAUUUAUUUUUGUAGGUCUUUUUUCUUCCCUUCCCUGUUUUGUUCUCUUUGCUUGUGAUUUGAUUACUCUCCUUUGUGUUGUGUUUGGAUUGCUUUUUCUCUUUGUAUGUAUAUCUAUUGUAGUUUCUUGAAUCACAGUUUCUAUGAGGUUUUAAUAUAACUGUCUAUAUAUGUACAAGAUUGUUUUAAGUUGCUGGUCUCUUAAUUUCAAAAGCACUUCCAGUAUUCUGUAUUUGUACUAUCCUCAUGAUUGCUGGUUUUGACAUCAUAUUCAUAUGUGGUUGAUUUCCUACAUUUAUUUUAUGUUUGCCUUUAACAGUGAACUUUCCCAUUUAUAAUUAUCUUGUAUCUAUUUGUGGCCUCUUUUUUCACCUAGAAAAAUUUCUUUAGCAUAUUUUGUAAAGCUGGUUUGGCAGUGCAGUAUUCUUUUAGUUUUUGCUUAUCUGUAAAGCUUUUAUUCUUUCUGUCAAAUCUGAAUAAGAGCCUUGCUGGGUAGAGUAUUCUUUGUUGUAGGUCUUUCUCUUUCAUCACUUUAAAUAUAUCAUGCCACUGCCUUAUAGCCUAUAGAGUACUCUGAAAACUAUAAGACACUGAUGAAGGAAAUCAGAGAUUACACAAACAGAUGGAAAGAUAUAACAUGCUUUUGGAUUGGAAAAUAUUGUCAGAAUGGCUGUGCUACCCAAGGAAAUAUACAGAUUCAAUGCAAUCCCUGUCAGAUUUCCACUGGCAUUUUUCACAGACCUAGAACAAAUUUUUUUUUUUUUUAGUUUCUAUGGAAAUGCAAAAACCCCAAAUAGCCAAAGCAAUCCUGAGAAAAGAAAAACAGAGCUAAAUCAAUCUUGAGAAAAGAAAAACAGAGCUGGUGAAUCGUCCCUGACUUCAAACUAUACUACAAAGCUACACUCAUAAAAACAGUAAGUACUGGUGCAAUAACAGAAGUAUAAAUCAAUUGAAAAUGAUAGAAAGCCCAGAAAUAAACCCAUGCACCUAUAUUCAAUUAAUCUGUGACAAAGGAAGCGAGAAUAUACAAUGGAAAAAAGACAGUCUCUUCAAUAAGUGGUACUGGGAAAACUGGACAGCUACAUGUAAAAAGUGAAAUUAAAACACUCUCUAACACCAUACACAAAAAUACACUCAAAAUUGAUGAAAGAUCUAAAUGUAAGGCCAGAUACUCUAAAAUAUUUGGAGGAAAACAGUGGUAGGACACUUUGCUAAAAUCACAGCCAUAUCUUUUCAGAUCCAUCUCUGAGAGUAAUGAAAAUAAAAACAAACAAAUAAACAAAUGGUACCUAAUUAAACUUAAAAGACUUUGCACAGCAAAGGAAAGCAUAAACAAAACAAAAAGACAAGCCACACAAUAAGAGAAAAUAUUUACAAAGUGCCCAAUGACAGAUUAAUAUCCAAAAUAUACAAACAACUCAUGAAAUUCAAUAUCAAAAAGUCAAAAAAUGGCCAGAGAUGUAAAUAGACAUUUCUCUAAAGAAGACAUACAGACAUGCCAAAAACACAUGAAAAAAAUAUUCAACAUCAUUAAUUAUUAGAGAAAUGUGAAUUAAAGCUACAAUGAUGUAUCAUUUCACACCAGUCAGAAUGGCCAUCAUCAAAAUGUCUAUAAGCAACAGAUGCUAGAGAGGGUGCAGAAAAAAGGAAACCCUCUUGUACUAUUGGAGGGAACAUAAGCUGGUGCAACUACUCUGGAGAACAGUAUGGAGGCUCCUUAAAAAAACCUUAAGAGAUAGAACUACCAUGUAAUUCACUAAUUCCACUCCUGGGCAUAUAUCCAGAGAAAAUCAUAUUUUAAAAAGAUACAUACACCCCAAUGUUCAUUGAAGUACUAUUUAUAAUAGCCAAGACAUGGAAGCAACCAAAAUUUCCAUUGACAGAGGAAUGGAUAAAGAAGAUGUGGUACAUAUAUGCAAUGGAAUAUUACCCAGCCAUAAAAAAGAAUGAAAUAAUUCCAUUUGCAGCAUCACAGAUGGACCUAAAGAUUACCAUACUAAGUGAGGUAAGUCAGAGAAGGACAACUAUCAUACCACUUAUAUCUGGAAUUUUAAAACAAUGAACUUAUUUAUGAAUCUGAUUAGUAUCCAUGUGGAUGCAGUUUUGAUCCCUGGCCUCACUCAAGAGUUAAGGAUCUGGUGUUACUGUGAGCUGUGAUGUACAUCACAGAUGAUGCUUGGGUCUGGUGUUGCAGUGGCUGUGACACAGGCUGGCAGCUGCAGAUCCCAUUUGACCCCUAGCCUGGGAACUUCCAUUUAGAAAGCUAAACCUGGCAAAGAAAAACUCAGAAUCUCUGUAAAGAAAUUCUAAAAAUAAAAAUAAUAAAAAUUCUUAGGCAGAGUAAAGCACAUCACUGAAAUCAAGACAUGAAACAUAAUUCAGGUUGAAAUUGAAGAUAAUUAAACAAGAAAGUACAAAUGAAAAACAACAGUAUGGAUUUCCCAUUGUGGCUCAGCAGAAAUGAAUCCUACUAGGAACCAUGAGGUUGUGGAUUGGAUCCCUGGCCUCGCUCAGUGGGUUAAGGAUCUGGUGUUGCUAUGAGCUAUGGUGUAGAUCACAGAUGUGGCUUGGAACUGACAUUGCUGUGGCUGUGGCGUAGGUUGGCAGCUAGAGCUAUGAUUAGACUCCUAGCCUGGGAACCUCCAUAUGCUGCAGGUGCAGCCCUAG